rfam:Pseudomassariella vexata strain CBS 129021 BCR38scaffold_13, whole genome shotgun sequence.
UCUUGAUUAGUAUAGUGGUCAGUAUACCAGCUUGUCAUCGCUAGUAUAAAAAAUAGCAGCAUACGCUGGGGACCCGGGUUCAAUUCCCGGAUCGAGAG